rnacentral:rRNA from 1 species
ACSAASASCGCCCCUGGGGASGAAGUCUCSGAACGUAAACVCUUUCNARRAGGACUAAGUUCUGRCGUACCUCRAGAGAAACCACGCCUAAUUACGUGCCAACACCCGCGUUAABUCGUAAGUGCCAAGCUUUGUCCGRAAUCACUGGGCGUAAAAAGCRCGUAAGCGGUUUGGUAAGCGGCGGGUGCAAUCCCAGGGCUCAACCCUGGAACUGCUCCCCGAACUGCCAGACUARAGUGCNGGAGAGGGSAGUGRAAUUCCUGGUGUAGSGGUGGAAUGCGUAUAUAUCAGGAGGAACACCGGUGGCGAAGCUGCUCCCUGGAACGCAACUGACGCUGAGGUGCGAAAGCUAGGGGAGCGAACGGGAUUAGAUACCCCGGUAGUCCUAGCCGUAAACGAUGGACACUAGGUGUUGGAGGCAUCAASSCCUCCAGUGCUGUUAUCUAACGCGUUAAGUGUCCCGCCUGGGGAGUACGGKCGCAAGGCUGAAACUCAAAGGRAUUGACGGGGGCCCGCACAAGCGGUGGAGCAUGUGGGKCAAUGGGAUGAUACGCCAAGAACCUUACCAGGGCUUGACAUCAUAGGGACAGCCUACGAAAGUAGGUCUCCCGGGCAACSGGGCCCUAUGACAGGUGGUGCAUGGUUGUCGUSAGCUCGUGUCGUGAGAUGUUGGGUUAAGUCCCGCAACGAGCGCAACCCUCACCGGAUGUUGCCAGCGUAAAGUCGGGCACUCUUCCGGGACUGCCUGAGUAAUCAGGAGGAAGGAGAGGAUGACGUCAAAUCUGCAUGCCCGCUUACGCCCUGGGCUGCACACGUGCUACAAUGGCGGGUACAAAGGGUUGCCAAACCGCGAGGUGGAGCCAAUCCCCCAAAGCCCGCCCCAGUUCGGAUCGGAGUCUGCAACUCGACUCCGUGAAGCCGGAAUCGCUAGUAACCGUGGAUCAGCAAUGCCACGGUGAAUACGUUCCCGGGCCUUGUACACACCGCCCGUCAAGUCACGAAAGCUGGCAGCACCCGAAGUCUAUCCUCAGAGAUGGCCGAAGGUGAGGCUAGUGAUUGGGACUAAGUGCGUAACAAGGUAGCCG